CAAAACCCUUAUCCAUUUUGAAAGCUCUUCUCACUCGUCAUGUCCCCUCGCUUAAACCAUCAAAAUCCAAACUUUUAAACCCCAUGAUUGUUCUUGGUUUUCUCUCUGCAGUUCGACACUAGAACGAUUUUAUCCGCUGUCUAGCUAGUUGAAUAAAAAAAAUGGCAUCUUUCUUAGCAACUUGGCUUUACCAAGAUAGAGGACUGAGGGAUACAGUUUGUGCAGAUAGCUUUGUUACUGGGAAGCCAGGCUACAGUCAUCUGCAGACAGCAUUUGUAGGUUCAUUUUCAACUGGAAUUUUGCAAGUUCAGUUUGGCUCUAAAGCAUUUCUGAAGGCUCCAUUACUUCCUUGUAUAAAGUGUGAGAAGAAGGAUGAAUACAUCGAACAUGUGUCUGUUGAACGCCCUCCUUACCAUAGUUAUAUGGACUCCACAUCUGGGCAACUUGAGCCAGCAUCUGGUGCUCGUGCUAGCAUUCCAGGACAGGAGUACUGGCCAGAAGGCACUGCUGAUCGAGUUAGGGCUGCCAGGGCUCCUGAACCAACAGGCACGU
rnacentral:misc_RNA from 1 species